AUUGAACGCUGGCGGCAGGCUUAACACAUGCAAGUCGAGCGGGGUGAUGGUGCUUGCACUAUCACUUAGCGGCGGACGGGUGAGUAAUGUCUGGGAAACUGCCCGAUGGAGGGGGAUAACUACUGGAAACGGUAGCUAAUACCGCAUAACGUCGCAAGACCAAAGUGGGGGACCUUCGGGCCUCACACCAUCGGAUGUGCCCAGAUGGGAUUAGCUAGUAGGUGGGAUAAUGGCUCACCUAGGCGACGAUCCCUAGCUGGUCUGAGAGGAUGACCAGCCACACUGGAACUGAGACACGGUCCAGACUCCUACGGGAGGCAGCAGUGGGGAAUAUUGCACAGUGGGCGCAAGCCUGAUGCAGCCAUGCCGCGUGUAUGAAGAAGGCCUUCGGGUUGUAAAGUACUUUCAGCGGGGAGGAAGGCGGUGAAGUUAAUAGCUUCACCGAUUGACGUUACCCGCAGAAGAAGCACCGGCUAACUCCGUGCCAGCAGCCGCCGUAA
rnacentral:rRNA from 1 species